CACGUGGGCUGUUCGGAGGAGGUGAAACGGUAUCCCUGAUAUUCCCUGUUUCAAUUGCUCACCUACUGUACAGCUGAGUGAACGCUUAAGGAAGCUGCAAAGCAAUGCAGCCUGUCUGAGACAUGAAGGAAUGUAGAGCAGGAUAAUCACAACAUCAUCAACCCAAUUCUCCAAGUGCUGAUCAGCAGCACACGCAGCUGAAAGGCAAAUGCAGCCUGGGAGAGCCAUGCAGCAGAGACAGCCCAUCAUCAGCAGAACAGCAUGACAGAUGACAGACCCAGAGGCAAACCCAGGCCUGCCAGCAGAUCAGCUUGUGGAGCUUGCCAAAGAGCCAGAUGCAGCUACUGAAAAGAUAUCGUCCUUAGCUCAGCAGCUGGGUCUCGCCAUGGCCAACCAUGCUUCGUUCCUUACUGCUGACCCCAACUGCCUGGAGACAAUGGAGUAAGGUGGGGGGCUUGAUUACAUCAACACCAUGGCAUUUAAAUUUCACUAGGACAAACAUCGAGACUAUAAACGAUGUCAAUUUCUGCACAGCAUAAUUAUCAAUACUCAUUUAUUGCAGGUUUUCUGGUUGUAUGAGUGCAUUGUGUCCCUUCCCCCACUGUCUCUGAGAAAAUACAGCUCAGGGACUGAGUCUUUGUUUGCCAUUCCCACUCAGAAACACAUUUAGCUACCGCACACCAACUACUAGAAGCAGCAGUACACUGUAAAUCUAACUAAUUAAGCAUUGCUGUAGAGAUCCUGUCGUCCUCAUCUCUGGAAAGGUGCAAUUCUUUCAGAACGCGGAGAUGUCUAAUUCGUGAAUAUAUCCCAGGGCUUGGCUUGUAGGACUACACAUCAAAUAAAUCUUUGUCAAGUGAGUGGUGUGACAAUUAGGAUGACAACUAAUGAUAUGGCAUCACAGCAAAGAUAAUUGCACCCAUUGUGAGACACUUACCAGGUCAGGAUACAUGCACAGCCAUUCAAAAGUGGCAUUCAUUCAUUCACCCCAGCUUCCUGUUCUGACAGCAGUAGUGUACUAAUAAAGUCAUCAUUUCUCCUUCUACAGAAGUUGGAGGAUAUUCUUUUUGGACCAUCUUGCCCCCCCUGAAGUUCAGCACUGCUUUUCUGCAUACUGGUAAUUGGCUUAGUCAGGCAAGCAAAAUGUUAAUGCAGGUACUCAAAAGCAUCCCACUGAGGACAAAGUAGGAGAGGGAAAGGUCCUGUUCUUUCAUUUUUUCAUCUAUAAUAGCUACCAAGAAAUAUCUUAAGCAAACAUUUAUAAAUGUGUUCUUCAUAAAAUGGGAAGUAUAGGACACUAUUGAUCUGGAAUGGAAAUUUCCUUAGUUUUGUUGAAGUCUAUGUAGAGAAGCCAAACCAUAUUGUCCCUUUAGGUUCAAGGUAAGAUUAAUCUCACUUACCUUGGGCAUCUAAGUCACACUGGGAUCCUUUUUAAAUCAAUGGCGAAAGAUAGGUACUUUCAUAAGGCUAUUCAUCUCGUUCUAAUGUAGGCAUCAGAACGAGUCAUCUGAAAUGAAUCCUUCUGUGUCUUUCCAUUUAUUAUAAAGGAAGCCUAUGGUGACUGGCUUUGAAUUAAGUACCUAUUUUUUGCUCUUAUAAGAUUGGGUGAGAUUUUAUAUUCCACUCUUGUUGUUUCCGUGGCUAAAGAGGAAUGUAUACAUGGAAAGUUUUUUUUGUUUUUUUUCUUUUUUUUUUUUAAUUUUCUUUUGAGCAUAGCCUUUCAUUUUAGAUUCAUAUGUAUUCCCAUAAUUAAGAAAGGAUUACCAAAUAAGCUAAGCCAUAAAGCUACUUUUCUGUGUUAAACACUACAAAGCUUGAAACAGCACAAUUCCCAGUACACAGCCUUUGAGCCAUUUGCAGUGAGAAUACAUAGUUCUCAGUGAAUCAUGCAAAGCUGGAAGAUCACUCAACACUGAUUCCUUCCUCUUUCCAUUCAUUUAUUCAAAGAGAUAAGAAGAUCCCAGAUGUAUAAAGGCAGCAUGCACUGGGGAUCCAGUCUGUUCAGAUGCUGGCAAUUCUUUUAGU